UACACUCCAUCACUAUGGCAUUUCAUUGUUAUGGAUAUAUUACGGAGCCCCGGAUGGAGGGGAAAUAAUAUCCAUGUGUGCUUCACUUUCAGUAGCACAGCUGUCUAGUUUACAGUUACUGCCAGUGAAUGGACUCAGUGCAAUUAUUAAUGAAUACCUGUAAAAACACACAAUAUUAAAGUUACAUAGUGUGCAUUGUCCCCCAUAGCUUAAUGCCUAAAGCAUACUUUACAGGAAAUAUCUGUACUAUUUAGGUCCCCACAUAGCAAGACGAGUUUGAAUCGGAUCCGGACCAAAUGCUGUUCAGAAAUUGCCGCAGAUCCACAAACGGAUCUGGCCCGAUGUCUUUUUACACAGCGGACCAAUACUGGUCCAAAUCCGCCUUUUUAAUUUAAAACAGAUAAAGUCCACAUAUGGGCCAGAUUCGCAUUGAAUGUUACCUAAUCUGGCCUCUAUUUGCACCAAAGUCGAAAGUUAAAUUCAGAUCAGAUUUAAAUGGGGGCAGUGAGUGGCUCGGGGUGUUAAAUGUCUGUGCCUGUGGUCAGAAGGUUGCUGGUUCACACCCUGCCCUCUGCGAUGGGUACUGCACAUUAGCUCACCCUGUCCUGUGACCCCACCCCCCAAACUUUUUUGGGAGUAAAAGAGACUUAGCUCUCUGAGCCACUAACUGCUCCCCUUUGAACCACCUCUGAAUUUAACUUUUCACUCCAAUGCAGAUGCAAGCCCAUAUAUGGCCCUUAUCAGUUUCAAAUCCAAAAAACAGAUUCGGACCAGUACUGGUCCGCUGUACAAAAAGACACUGGGCCAGAUCUGCUUUACAGAUCUGCAGCAAUUUCUGAACAACAUUUAGCCCAGAUCUGGUUCAGGCUCAUCUUGCUAUGUGAAACAAUCACCCCUCAGAUUCUUAGCGCAAAAGCUGCACAUCUGGUAAGUGACUGGUCAUACGUAUAUGGUCAGGUGAUUAUGUGCCGGAUCUGGUAAAUGAUUGAUCAUAUGUAUAUGGUCAGGUGAAUGUGUGCCGAAUCUGGUAAGUGACUAGUCAUACGUAUAUGGUCAGGUGAAUGUGUGCCGGAUCAGGUAAGUGACUGAUCAUACGUAUAUGGUCAGGUGAAUGUGUGCCGGAUCUGGUAAGUGACUAGUCAUACGUAUAUGGUCAGGUGAAUGUGUGCCGGAUCAGGUAAGUGACUGAUCAUACGUAUAUGGUCAGGUGAAUGUGUGCCGGAUCAGGUAAGUGACUGAUCAUACGUAUAUGGUCAGGUGAAUGUGUGCCGGAUCAGGUAAGUGACUGAUCAUACGCAUAUGGUCAGGUGAUUGUGUGCCGGAUCUGGUAAGUGACUGAUCAUACGUAUAUGGUCAGGCGAAUGCGCACUGGGUCUCCAUUGUGUAUACAGACCUGUAUACAGAACUGUGGUCAGUUUUUUUCCAUCUCUUUUUUAACCAUUUAUUUUCUCCCCCUCAUGUCCUUUCUGGGCCUCACACCUCUGGGACCCGGGUUCAAGUCUCCACCUGGGUCACAUGUGUGUGGAGUUUGCAUGUUCUCCCCAUGUCGUCGUGGGGUUUCCUCCGGGUACUCAGGUUUCCCCCCACAGUCCAAAAACAUGGCUAAUUGGAGUUGCUAAAUUGCCCAUAGGAGUGCAUGUGUGAGUGAAUGGUGUGUGAAUGUGCCCUGUGAUGGGCUGGCCCCCCAUCCUGGGUUGUUCCCUGCCUCGUGCCCGUUGCUUCCGGGAUAGGCUCCGGACCCCCCGCGACCCAGUAGGAUAAGCGGUUUGGAAAAUGGAUGGAUGGAUGGAUGUCCUUUCUGGGGUUCCACAUUAUUCUACAUUUUGAAAAUCAAUUUUAAUAUUUUUAGUUAAAGUUUGAUAAUUAAUAAUACACCUAAUAAUACUGUAUGGAUUUUGUAUUUUCUAUUGAUAACAGCCUUAAAAUGAAGCUCAAAAACUGAUGUUUUGAAAGACUAUCAAGAAUUUGAGAAAUCCCUGUUAUAAAAUUACAUUUAGAUGUGAACUCAGUUCAUCCCCUCAUUUCCUGUUUGUUAUGUUUGUCGGAAUGUGAA